rnacentral:rRNA from 1 species
AGUGAACGCUGGCGGUAGGCCUAACACAUGCAAGUCGAACGGCAGCACAGUAAGAGCUUGCUCUUACGGGAGGCGAGUGGCGGACGGGUGAGGAAUACAUCGGAAUCUACUUUUUCGUGGGGGAUAACGUAGGGAAACUUACGCGAAUACCGCAUACGACCUACGGGUGAAAGCAGGUGAUCUUCGGACCUUGCGCGAUUGAAUGAGCCGAUGUCGGAUUAGCUAGUUGGCGGGGUAAAGGCCCACCAAGGCGACGAUCCGUAGCUGGUCUGAGAGGAUGAUCAGCCACACGGGAACUGAGACACGGUCCAGACUCCUACGGGAGGCAGCAGUGGGGAAUAUUAGACAAUGGGCGCAAGCCUGAUCCAGCCAUACCGCGUGGGUGAAGAAGGCCUUCGGGUUGUAAAGCCAUUUUGUUGGGAAAGAAAAGCAGCAGGUUAAUACCCCGCUGUUCUGACGGUACCCAAAGAAUAAGCACCGGCUAACUUCGUG